AUACGUAGGGGGCGAGCGUUGUUCGGAAUGAUUGGGCGUAAAGGGCGCGUAGGCGGCCCGGUAAGUCUGGAGUGAAAGUCCUGUUUUUAAGAUGGGAAUUGCUUUGGAUACUGUCGGGCUUGAGUGCAGGAGAGGGAAGUGGAAUUCCCAGUGUAGCGGUGAAAUGCGUAGAGAUUGGGAGGAACACCAGUGGCGAAGGCGACUUACUGGACUGUAACUGACGCUGAGGCGCGAAAGUGUGGGGAGCAAACAGGAUUAGAUACCCUGGUAGUCCACACUGUAAACGAUGAAUGCUAGGUGUAGGGGGUAUCGACCCCUUCUGUGCCGCAGUCAACACAAUAAGCAUUCCGCCUGGGGAGUACGGCCGCAAGGUUGAAACUCAAAGGAAUUGACGGGG
rnacentral:rRNA from 1 species